rfam:Triticum aestivum genome assembly, contig: Triticum_aestivum_CS42_TGACv1_scaffold_320962_4BL
UUAGUACUCCCUCUGUCCCAAAAUUCUUGUCUUAGAUUUGUCUAGAUACGGAUGUAUCUAAUACUAAAACGUGACUGAUACAUCCGUAUUUAGACAAAUCUAAGACAAGAAUUUUGGGACGGAGGGAGUAUAUU